rnacentral:rRNA from 1 species
AUAGAACGCUGGCGGCAGGCCUAACACAUGCAAGUCGAACGAGUGGCGGACCGGUGAGUAAUGUCUGGGAAACUGCCUGAUGGAGGGGGAUAACUACUGGAAACGGUAGCUAAUACCGCCUACCAUCGGAUGUGCCCAGAUGGGUUUAGCUAGUAGGUGGGGUAACGGCUAACCUAGGCGACGACCCCCAGCUGGUCUGAGAGGAUGACCAGCCACACUGGAACUGAGACACGGUCCAGAGUCCUACGGGAGGCAGCAGUGGGGAAUAUUGCACAAUGGGCGCAAGCCUGAUACAGCCAUGCCGCGUGUGUGAAGAAGGCCUUCGGGUUGUAAAGCACUUUCAGCGGGGAGGCGUUACCCGAAGAAGAAGCACCGGCUAACUCCGUGCCAGCCGCCGCGGUAAUAC